GAGUGAAAGUGUCAUUUCUGUCUCCAGACUCACUCAACAAACUUCCUCUCAAAAACAAAUACAGGAACUUGUUCAACAGCAUCUUCUGUUCAGCCAGUAUGGUUCAUCAGCUCGAUUCUUCUCUGAGAGAGAUCACAGCGCCUGAUGCUGCUCUGAUAAUAGAGUUGGCAAACUUCCUGUUGGACCUUUCAAAAGAGCAAGCAUCAGGUUUUGCUGACAGAGUGAAGGAGAUCGCUGAAGAAUCAGCAUUCACUGCAACACAC